rfam:Streptomyces roseochromogenes subsp. oscitans DS 12.976 chromosome, whole genome shotgun sequence.
GGUGCUGUAGCUCAGUUGGCAGAGCAGGCUCACUUAUAAGGGUCGUGUCGCAGGUUCGAGUCCUGUCAGCACUA